rnacentral:rRNA from 1 species
UACAGAGGGUGCGAGCGUUAAUCGGAAUUACUGGGCGUAAAGCGUGCGUAGACGGUUAUUUAAGUCGGAUGUGAAAGCCCCGGGCUCAACCUGGGAAUUGCAUUCGAGACUGAAUAGCUAGGGUACGGUAGAGGGAAGCGGAAUUUCCGGUGUAGCGGUGAAAUGCGUAGAUAUCGGAAGGAACAUCAGUGGCGAAAGCGGCUUCCUGGACCAGCACCGACGUUCAGGCACGAAAGCGUGGGGAGCAAACAGG